GCCGAGAGGGCGAGGAAUAAAAGACCUUCGGGGAAUAACUCCAGCCGACUUUGGACGGUUUACGAACCUCUUGGCACCCUAUU
rnacentral:ncRNA from 19 species